rnacentral:rRNA from 1 species
UUACCAAGGCUUGACAUACACGAGAACGGGCCAGAAAUGGUCAACUCUUUGGACACUCGUGAACAGGUGGUGCAUGGUUGUCGUCAGCUCGUGUCGUGAGAUGUUGGGUUAAGUCCCGCAACGAGCGCAACCCUCGUUCUAUGUUGCCAGCACGUUAUGGUGGGAACUCAUGGGAUACUGCCGGGGUCAACUCGGAGGAAGGUGGGGAUGACGUCAAAUCAUCAUGCCCCUUAUGUCUUGGGCUUCACGCAUGCUACAAUGGCCGGUACAAAGGGCUGCGAUACCGUAAGGUGGAGCGAAUCCCAAAAAGCCGGUCCCAGUUCGGAUUGAGGUCUGCAACUCGACCUCAUGAAGUCGGAGUCGCUAGUAAUCGUGGAUCAGCAACGCCACGGUGAAUACGUUCCCGGGUCUUGUACACACCGCCCGUCAAGUCAUGAAAGUCGGUAACACCUGAAGCCGGUGGCCUAACCCUUGUGGAGGGAGCCGUCGAAGGUGGGAUCGGUAAUUAGGACUAAGUCGUAACAAGGUAAGCGUAGUGCU